rnacentral:rRNA from 1 species
AGACGGAGGGGGCUAGCGUUAUUCGGAAUUACUGGGCGUAAAGGGCGCGUAGGCGGAUUAGUAAGUUGGGAGUGAAAGCCCGGGGCUUAACCUCGGAACUGCUUUCAAAACUGCUAGUCUUGAGUGAAGUAGGGGGUGAUGGAAUUACUAGUGUAGAGGUGAAAUUCUUAGAUAUUAGGAGGAACACCGGUGGCGAAGGCGGUCACCUGGACUUCAACUGGCGCUGAGGCGCGAAAGCGUGGGGAGCAAACAGGAUUAGAAACCCUAGUAGUCC